CCUACGGGAGGCUGCAGUGGGGGAUAUUGGACAAUGGGGGGAACCCUGAUCCAGCGACGCCGCGUGAGUGAAGAAGUAUUUCGGUAUGUAAAGCUCUAUCAGCAGGGAAGAAAGAAAUGACGGUACCUGACUAAGAAGCCCCGGCUAACUACGUGCCAGCAGCCGCGGGAAUACGUAGGGGGCAAGCGUUAUCCGGAUUUACUGGGUGUAAAGGGAGCGUAGACGGCGAUGCAAGUCUGAAGUGAAAGGCGGGGGCCCAACCUCCGGACUGCUUUGGAAACUGGAUGGCUGGAGUGCAGGAGAGGUAAGGGGAAUGCCUAGUGUAGCGGUGAAAUGCGUAGAUAUUAGGAGGAACACCAGUGGCGAAGGCGGCUUACUGGACUGUAACUGACGUUGAGGCUCGAAAGCGUGGGGAGCAAACAGGAUUAGAUACCCGUGUAGUC
rnacentral:rRNA from 1 species